rnacentral:rRNA from 1 species
GAUGAACGCUGGCGGCGUGCCUAAUACAUGCAAGUCGAGCGAACAGACGAGGAGCUUGCUCCUCUGACGUUAGCGGCGGACGGGUGAGUAACACGUGGAUAACCUACCUAUAAGACUGGGAUAACUUCGGGAAACCGGAGCUAAUACCGGAUAACAUGUUGAACCGCAUGGUUUAACAGUGAAAGACGGUCUUGCUGUCACUUAUAGAUGGAUCCGCGCCGCAUUAGCUAGUUGGUAAGGUAACGGCUUACCAAGGCAACGAUGCGUAGCCGACCUGAGAGGGUGAUCGGCCACACUGGAACUGAGACACGGUCCAGACUCCUACGGGAGGCAGCAGUAGGGAAUCUUCCGCAAUGGGCGAAAGCCUGACGGAGCAACGCCGCGUGAGUGAAGAAGGUCUUCGGAUCGUAAAACUCCGUUAUUAGGGAAGAACAAAUGUGUAAGUAACUAUGCACGUCUUGACGGUACCUAAUCAGAAAGCCACGGCUAACUACGUG